AAAGCAAAUAAACUCGGCCUCGCUUUCAAACAAACUAAACAAAUUUCAGUUGAGCAAUGGAUGAAACUCGCUGUCGGUGCCGCAAGAUCUCGGCCGGUGGUCCUGCGAGCCAAACUCGAACCAACGAGAAUGAUGAAGAUAAACGUCGUCGGCGUGUAUUCGCACUUCCACUUCGAGGAAUGAUGAAGAUCAACGAAUUUGAUAUCUUGAAGUUCUGCGGCUAAUCUCCAGUGUUAAAGAUGAAGCCUUUUCUGGACCGUGAGCUCCUUUCUUGAAUUUCCGUUGUAAGCUUCCAUUUUGACUUUCUUCUUCUUUUCCUGUUACGGACUUGUUCGGAGUUGUUGAGUGCGUUCUCUUGGAGUCAUUUCUUCUGUUAUGGAAAAGGUUAUUAGAAGUUGUUAUCAGGGAGCUUGUGAGGGUGUGAGGCUGGUUUUUUGAUGCAAUUUUAGAAGUUGGUUCGUUGUUCCAUCGAGUUCUGUUCUGGAAAGUUUUGUUGCAGGGUUCAAGAAUUGGCUUCUGUUAGAAGUUGUUAUCGGUUAGGUUUUUUUUUUUAAAGAUGAAGUUAGAGAGAGUUUUUACUUCAGUAUGAACUCUGAAAAACUCCCCUGAGAUUAUGGUUGACUUACUUUAUGGUUGAGAAAGGAUUAUGAUGAAAUUGUGUGGUUAUUGGAAUUGUGAAGAAAGGGAUUUUCUGGUUUUGUGAAGAAGCUGAUUGUUGAAGCUAUGAAGAAGCUUAUGGUAUUGGGAAGAAGAUAAAUAUGGUUGAAUUUUCGGCAUCGGUUGCCGGUUCAGGAAUAAUUAAUUGAAGAUUGGCUUAUGCUUCUGCUUCAGAUUCAUGGUUCAAGUUCGUUAAAUUAUUUAUUGAUAACACCAAGGAUGAUUUGGUAUGAAUUCAGUUCACGGUUUCGACAUUGAAGGUUAUCUCAAGUUCAAUUAAUUAUGGUGAUGGACUGUUAAAAACAGAAGGCAAUAGUGUUGUUUUGUAGCGGAAAACAACUCAAUAUAAGUUUAUUAUUACCUUAGUUAAAGAAGAAGAGAAAAACACUAUGAUUAGUUUCCAGGUUUGCAAUCCAAGUGCCUCUUCAAAAACUUUAUAGCAUGGGAUUGAUUCCACUGUACGAUCGGACAUGGGACUAUUACUUGUGAUCUUGUAAUAUUUCUAUACGCAGCUUAAUAAAAGGCUUUCACUACCUUUCUACUUCACCCCUUUGCAAAUAACUGCACCGUGUCCAUCAUGUUUAUUUCCACCAUGUUUAUUAAGAAAUGAUUUAUAUGAAGUAGGUGAAUUAUCUUGGUGUAAUAUGUAUGCGGAUAGAAUUUGUGAAAUUGGUUUAUGGAUGAAAAUUUUGACGGUUUCUUGGUGUCUAUGAUGCAUUUGAUGACGGUUGAGAUUAGUGAUGAAAGAGGUCAAUUUUAUGUUUGUGUUCAUGGCAAGGUUUGGGUUCUCACGAUGAUCUUCCACACAACGAAAAGAAAGGCGAAAACCAAGCAUACAAAGAUGAAUCCAACAAACAAGCAUGAACGCACAAGCAAACAAGAUUUUGCGAAAUGGUAAAUAAGGUUUGAGGCUUACCGAUCGGAGACCCUCCGAUGGUUCUUCAAUGGCGGUGCAAAUCCAAUACGCGACGAUGAAGGUUUAUGCUCAAGUUGAUUGAAACUUCAAUGAGAAGCUUCAACAACCAUGGAUUUGAGCUCUAGUGAGGGAGGGUUGAAGAAUGGAGAAUGAAGAGUGCAAAACUUGAGAGAAGUGAAGAAUGAGGGGAAUUCAAAAAGUGAAGAAGAAGAAGACUAGUGAGUGAAUGAUGAAUGUUUAUAUAGACUAGGUGAGGGAUGACUAGAGGUUGAAAAUUAGUUAGAAAAUUGUUGGGGCUGGUUUGGGCACUUUGGGCAAUUGCUCAAAGUAGUUAGAAGUUAGUUUGUGGAAGUUUAAGGUAGUUAGGGUGGUUAAGGCAUGGAUGUAUGUGAAUUCACAUGCAUGUCAUAGGCUGAAUUUUUAGUGAAUAUGAAGGAAAUUAGAUGAAUUUAUAUGACACCACUUGAAUACAUGUUUGGCCAUUUGAAUGAAUGAAUUAUAUAUGCAUUUGGAUUGAUGUUCAUGCGUGAGAUGGUGUAUUACAUGAAUGCUGAAUUUUUAUUUUAAUGCACAAGAUCUAUGAGUUUUUACUUGUUGUAUAGAAGUGAAAUGAAAGUGAUGCAUAAUAUGGAAUUUAUUCAUGAUAUAUGCAUAACACGCAUAAUUUUUAUUGAAUUAGUAUUGAAUUUGACCUUUUUUGGAUGGUUUUGCAUAUGAUAUAAGUGUAUGUUCAUGUGUUGAAUUUUAGAGAUGGAUGAUAUAAAUUUAAGAUGACUUUCCAUGUGUAUUUUGAAAGUACUCAUGAUGCUGAAUUUUUAUUUUGUAGGUGCUGAAUUUUUUAGAAAUGAAUGUAAUUUCUAAUUUGUUUUUAUUGUUUUCUUUGCAACAUGGUAUGUGAUAAUGGAAUAUGAACAAACAUGGUCAAGGUGGAGUAUGAAUGAAUAUUAUUGAAGAGCUUGGAAUCAUUUUUAUUCUUUUGUAAUAUGUUUGUAAAUGACAUAAAGUGGUGUAAAGUGAAGUCACAUAAUUGUAAGAAUAAUAUUUAGUGACUUUGGAACCUUAUGCACAUGAAUUGAAAGACUAUGAAUAAAAAAAUGAAUUUUUAGCUCAAA